rnacentral:rRNA from 1 species
UGUAUAUAGCAUAGCGUUAAUGCACCAGAUCCCAUUAGAACUCCGCAGUUAAGCACGCUUGGGUAGAGUAGUACUGGGAUGGGUGACCCUCGGAUAGUCCUAAUGUUUCAAUCC